UACAGCAAGGUAUUUUAGGGCUGCACCCGGAGACCCGAUUCGCAGCCUCCUGGGUCUGAGCAGUUCCCAGCCAGUCGCCUGAGAACUUUCCGCUCCAGCACCAGGAAAAAUGAGAUUUUUGCUCCUUUUAAGUUUCGUGGCAGCAGCUUUAGAAGGUGUCCGGUCCCAGGUCAAGCUGGUGGAGUCCGGAGGGGGGGUGAAAAGCCCCGGAGAGUCUGUUUUCCUCACCUGCAAAAUCUCCGGGUUCGUCCUCAGCGAUUCCUACAUGAGCUGGCUCCGACAGGCUCCAGGAAAGGGACUAGAAUGGGUCAGUUCUAUAAACCCCGACGGGAGCCAGACACGCUACCGUGAUUCAGUGAAAGGCCGAUUCACCAUCUCCAGGGAUAAUUACGAGAAUGAGCUGUAUCUGCGACUGUCCCACCUGGAACCCGAGGACACCGCCAUCUAUUACUGUGAGAAAGGCACAGCGACACCCCCUUCUCCCAGCAGCCACGUGGGGGCAGCAGUGACAGUCACCCCGCUUCGGGCUUAGACAGGAGACCUGGCAACUGGGUGAAUGUAACACAAACCUACCGUUUGUGUUACAUUCACCCUACGGUUACUCACAUCUUCUUGUCAAGUGUUUGAAAUGGG